AAAUUGAAGAGUUUGAUCAUGGCUCAGAUUGAACGCUGGCGGCAGGCCUAACACAUGCAAGUCGAACGGUAACAGGAAACAGCUUGCUGUUUCGCUGACGAGUGGCGGACGGGUGAGUAAUGUCUGGGAAACUGCCUGAUGGGGGGGGAUAACUACUGGAAACGGUAGCUAAUACCGCAUAACGUCGCAAGACCAAAGAGGGGGACCUUCGGGCCUCUUGCCAUCGGAUGUGCCCAGAUGGGAUUAGCUAGUAGGUGGGGUAACGGCUCACCUAGGCGACGAUCCCUAGCUGGUCUGAGAGGAUGACCAGCCACACUGGAACUGAGACACGGUCCAGACUCCUACGGGAGGCAGCAGUGGGGAAUAUUGCACAAUGGGCGCAAGCCUGAUGCAGCCAUGCCGCGUGUAUGAAGAAGGCCUUCGGGUUGUAAAGUACUUUCAGCGGGGAGGAAGGGAGUAAAGUUAAUACCUUUGCUCAUUGACGUUACCCGCAGAAGAAGCACCGGCUAACUCCGUGCCAGCAGCCGCGGUAAUACGGAGGGUGCAAGCGUUAAUCGGAAUUACUGGGCGUAAAGCGCACGCAGGCGGUUUGUUAAGUCAGAUGUGAAAUCCCCGGGCUCAACCUGGGAACUGCAUCUGAUACUGGCAAGCUUGAGUCUCGUAGAGGGGGGUAGAAUUCCAGGUGUAGCGGUGAAAUGCGUAGAGAUCUGGAGGAAUACCGGUGGCGAAGGCGGCCCCCUGGACGAAGACUGACGCUCAGGUGCGAAAGCGUGGGGAGCAAACAGGAUUAGAUACCCUGGUAGUCCACGCCGUAAACGAUGUCGACUUGGAGGUUGUGCCCUUGAGGCGUGGCUUCCGGAGCUAACGCGUUAAGUCGACCGCCUGGGGAGUACGGCCGCAAGGUUAAAACUCAAAUGAAUUGACGGGGGCCCGCACAAGCGGUGGAGCAUGUGGUUUAAUUCGAUGCAACGCGAAGAACCUUACCUGGUCUUGACAUCCACGGAAGUUUUCAGAGAUGAGAAUGUGCCUUCGGGAACCGUGAGACAGGUGCUGCAUGGCUGUCGUCAGCUCGUGUUGUGAAAUGUUGGGUUAAGUCCCGCAACGAGCGCAACCCUUAUCCUUUGUUGCCAGCGGUCCGGCCGGGAACUCAAAGGAGACUGCCAGUGAUAAACUGGAGGAAGGUGGGGAUGACGUCAAGUCAUCAUGGCCCUUACGACCAGGGCUACACACGUGCUACAAUGGCGCAUACAAAGAGAAGCGACCUCGCGAGAGCAAGCGGACCUCAUAAAGUGCGUCGUAGUCCGGAUUGGAGUCUGCAACUCGACUCCAUGAAGUCGGAAUCGCUAGUAAUCGUGGAUCAGAAUGCCACGGUGAAUACGUUCCCGGGCCUUGUACACACCGCCCGUCACACCAUGGGAGUGGGUUGCAAAAGAAGUAGGUAGCUUAACCUUCGGGAGGGCGCUUACCACUUUGUGAUUCAUGACUGGGGUGAAGUCGUAACAAGGUAACCGUAGGGGAACCUGCGGUUGGAUCACCUCCUUACCUUAAAGAAGC
rnacentral:rRNA from 1 species